rnacentral:lncRNA from 10 species
CUGAGGAAGGUUUGUCUUGGUAAAUGUUCUGUGAGCGCAGAAUAAAAGAAUCUUAUUCUGCUGUUUGGUGGUGGAGUGUCCUGUGAAGUCAAUCAGUUAGAGAAGGAAGACUUUGACUUCUGGCUCAAAUGGAAUAAUAGUGACCAGAUUUACCCUCCUGCCUGGUACAAACAAAAGUCCCGAAGAAACAAGACAAAAUAUAACAGUGAGUCUCAUAUACACCUGACAGCGGAGGACAGAGACCUAAGAGACUGGAGAAACCAAGGAGCUGGUUGUUCAAGAGCAUGGAACUCCUCCCAUCACUCCCUCUUGCUCCCUCUCUGAUCACACAACACACUGGUUCCCCUUGCCUUCUGCCAUGAGGAAAAGUUCCCUGAGGCCCCAACCAGAGGCAGAUGCUGGCACCAUGCUUCCUGUACAGCCUGCAUAACUGUGAGCCAAAUAAACCUCUUUUCUUUAUAAAUUACCCAGCCUCAGGUAUCCCAUUAUGGCAACACAAAAGGGACUAAUACUUAGGCCAUUUAAAAAUAU